UUCGCAAUGCCCGAAAGGGUGAACGAGCGACGCCGCGUGCGGGAUGAAGGGCUUCGGCUUGUAAACCGCUUUUCUUUGGGAAGAAGGUCCGGGUCGUGCACUCGGGCUCGACGGUACCAGAGGAAUAAGCCCCGGCUAACUCCGUGCCAGCAGCCGCGGUAAGACGGAGGGGGCAAGCGUUGUUCGGAAUUAUUGGGCGUAAAGGGCGCGUAGGCGGAUUGGUAAGUCUGGCGUGAAAUCUCCACCACUUAACGGGGAGAGGUCGCUGGAAACUGCCGAUCUGGAGUUCGGUAGAGGAUCAUGGAAUUCCAGGUGUAGCGGUGGAAUGCGUAGAUAUCUGGAGGAACGCCGGUGGCGAAAGCGACUCUCUGGUCUGCAACUGACGCUGAGGUGCGAAAGCUAGGGGAGCAAACGGGAUUAGAUACCCCGGUAGUCCUAGCCCUAAACGAUGGGCACUAAGUAGAGGGGUUUU
rnacentral:rRNA from 1 species